GAUGAAGAACGUAGCGAAAUGCGAUAAGUAGUGUGAAUUGCAGAAUUCAGUGAAUCAUCGAAUCUUUGAACGCACAUUGCGCCCCAUGGUAUUCCGUGGGGCAUGCCUGUUCGAGCGUCAUUUACUCCCUCAAGCUCCGCUUGGUGUUGGGCGUCUGUCCCGCUUCGCGCGCGGACUCGCCCCAAAGGUAUUGGCAGCGGUCGUGCCAGCUUCUCGCGCAGCACAUUGCGCUUCUCGAGGCACCGGCGGGCCCGCGUCCAUCAAGCUCACCCCCCAGUUUGACCUCGGAUCAGGUAGGGAUACCCGCUGAACUUAAGCAUAUCAAUAAGCGGAGGA
rnacentral:misc_RNA from 1 species